AUAGAUCUUUGGAAACCCAUUUGUAGAAAAAGAAGAGAAAGUGUGUGGGUCGUGGAAAUUCUCCGUGUGGACGGUUUUAUAGAAGAGAAAAGAUGUGGAAUGAGACCAGGGAAGGUACGUACGACACCGACGUGUACGGGUUAAAGUAGGUGUAUAAACCGUGGAUGUAUUAUAACAUGGAAUACUAAAAUACGGCGUGCUCUUGUUGUGUUUUUUUUUUUUUGUUCCGGUCGUUUGAAAUAAUAAUAAUUGUAUGUGGCCAACUUGGGAAUUGAUGUAUCUUCUGGAAUAUACUGUUGGAUCUAUUACUUAUUCCAAUCAAUUUUGCAAUUCUGAGUA